AGAGUUUUGAUCCUGGCUCAGAACGAACGCUGGCGGCAGGCUUAACACAUGCAAGUCGAGCGAGAUCUUCGGGUCUAGCGGCGGACGGGUGAGUAACGCGUGGGAACGUGCCCUUUGCUACGGAAUAGUCCUGGGAAACUGGGGGUAAUACCGUAUACGCCCUUUUGGGGAAAGAUUUAUCGGCGAAGGAUCGGCCCGCGUUGGAUUAGGUAGUUGGUGGGGUAAUGGCCUACCAAGCCGACGAUCCAUAGCUGGUUUGAGAGGAUGAUCAGCCACACUGGGACUGAGACACGGCCCAGACUCCUACGGGAGGCAGCAGUGGGGAAUCUUAGACAAUGGGGGCAACCCUGAUCUAGCCAUGCCGCGUGAGUGAUGAAGGCCUUAGGGCUGUAAAGCUCUUUCAGCUGGGAAGAUAAUGACGGUACCAGCAGAAGAAGCCCCGGCUAACUCCGUG
rnacentral:rRNA from 1 species